UACGGGGGGGGCAAGCGUUGUUCGGAAUUACUGGGCGUAAAGGGCUCGUAGGCGGCGAACUAAGUCAGACGUGAAAUCCCUCGGCUUAACCGGGGAACGGCCUCUGAUACUGGAUGGCUUGAGUUCGGGAGAGGGAUGCGGAAUUCCAGGUGUAGCGGUGAAAUGCGUAGAUAUCUGGAGGAACACCGGUGGCGAAGGCGGCAUCCUGGACCGACACUGACGCUGAGGAGCGAAAGCCAGGGGAGCAAACGGG
rnacentral:rRNA from 1 species